rnacentral:rRNA from 1 species
GAACGCUGGCGGCGUGCCUAAUACAUGCAAGUCGAGCGAACGGACGAGAAGCUUGCUUUUCUGAUGUUAGCGGCGGACGGGUGAGUAACACGUGGAUAACCUACCUAUAAGACUGGGAUAACUUCGGGAAACCGGAGCUAAUACCGGAUAAUAUUUUGAACCGCAUGGUUCAAAAGUGAAAGACGGUCUUGCUGUCACUUAUAGAUGGAUCCGCGCUGCAUUAGCUAGUUGGUAAGGUAACGGCUUACCAAGGCAACGAUUCAUAGCCGACCUGAGAGGGUGAUCGGCCACACUGGAACUGAGACACGGUCCAGACUCCUACGGGAGGCAGCAGUAGGGAAUCUUCCGCAAAGGGCGAAAGCCUGACGGAGCAACGCCGCGUGAGUGAUGAAGGUCUUCGGAUCGUAAAACUCUGUUAUUAGGGAAGAACAUAUGUGUAAGUAACUGUGCACAUCUUGACGGUACCUAAUCAGAAAGCCACGGCUAACUACGUG